GGGAGUUCCUGUUUUAACCCUCAAAGUGAAGUGUCGUCUCAUUAUUGGGGGAAGGAUUUAUUGUAUGCUGUUCCAGUUUGACUGCUAGGAGAGUAAACCUAUUCGUAUGGUUCCUAUUCAACUGUCUACAGCAUUUAUAUGCUUGGGAGAAUUUAUUUGUUUCUCCGGUUUGGUGAUUGUGGUGUCUGCCAGAGUGCUUGGAGUCCUCAGGAAGCGCUAG